rnacentral:rRNA from 1 species
AAAGCGCACGUAGGCGGCUUUGUAAGUAAGAGGUGAAAGCCCAGAGCUCAACUCUGGAAUUGCCUUUUAGACUGCAUCGCUUGAAUCAUGGAGAGGUCAGUGGAAUUCCGAGUGUAGAGGUGAAAUUCGUAGAUAUUCGGAAGAACACCAGUGGCGAAGGCGGCUGACUGGACAUGUAUUGACGCUGAGGUGCGAAAGCGUGGGGAGCAAACAGGAUUAGAUACCCUAGU